UACGUAGGGGGCAAGCGUUGUCCGGAUUUAUUGGGCGUAAAGGAUGCGUAGGUGGAUAUUUAAGUGGGAUGUGAAAUACCCGAGCUCAACUUGGGUGCUGCAUUCCAAACUGGAUAUCUAGAGUGCAGGAGAGGUAAGUGGAAUUCCUAGUGUAGCGGUGAAAUGCGUAGAGAUUAGGAAGAACACCAGUGGCGAAGGCGACUUACUGGACUGUAACUGACACUGAGGCAUGAAAGCGUGGGGAGCAAACAGG
rnacentral:rRNA from 1 species